rnacentral:misc_RNA from 1 species
GAAAUGCGAUAAGUAAUGUGAAUUGCAGAAUUCAGUGAAUCAUCGAAUCUUUGAACGCACAUUGCGCCCGCCAGCAUUCUGGCGGGCAUGCCUGUUCGAGCGUCAUUUCGACCCUCAAGCCCUGCGGCUUGGUGUUGGGGUGUCUGCGGCGGUGCCGCAGGCCCCGAAAUUCAGUGGCGGUCCCGACGAGACCCUAAGCGCAGUACUACUCUCGCUUCUGGCGUCGCGGCGGGCUACCAGCCGUAAAACCCACGGGCGCCCCCGGGCCCCGUACAUUCAAGGUUGACCUCGGAUCAGGUAGGAAUACCCGCUGAACUUAA